rnacentral:rRNA from 1 species
CCCCUCAAGAUGAGAUUUCCCAUAGCGUAAGCUAGUAAGAUCCCUGAAAGAUGAUCAGGUUGAUAGGUUCGAGGUGGAAGCAUGGUGACAUGUGGAGCUGACGAAUACUAAUAGAUCGAGGACUUAACCAUAUAAUAUGUA